rnacentral:rRNA from 1 species
UAAUACAGAGGUCUCAAGCGUUGUUCGGAUUCAUUGGGCGUAAAGGGUGCGUAGGUGGCAAGGUAAGUCGGGUGUGAAAUCCCGGGGCUCAACCCUGGAACUGCACUCGAUACUGCCAUGCUCGAGUACUGGAGAGGAGACUGGAAUUUACGGUGUAGCAGUGAAAUGCGUAGAUAUCGUAAGGAAGACCAGUGGCGAAGGCGAGUCUCUGGACAGUUACUGACACUGAGGCACGAAGGCCAGGGGAGCAAACGGGAUUAGAUACCCCGGUAGUCCUGGCAGUAAACGGUGCGCGUUUGGUGUGGGAGGAUUCGACCCCUCCUGUGCCGGAGCUAACGCGUUAAACGCGCCGCCUGGGGAGUACGGUCGCAAGAUUA